UGGGGAAUAUUGCACAAUGGGCGAAAGCCUGAUGCAGCAACGCCGCGUGAGUGAUGAAGGCCUUCGGGUUGUAAAGCUCUGUCCUCUGGGACGAUAAUGACGGUACCAGAGGAGGAAGCCACGGCUAACUACGUGCCAGCAGCCGCGGUAAUACGUAGGUGGCAAGCGUUGUCCGGAUUUACUGGGCGUAAAGGAUGCGUAGGCGGAUACUUAAGUCAGAUGUGAAAAUCCCGGGCUUAACUUGGGAACUGCAUUUGAAACUGGGUAUCUAGAGUGCGGGAGAGGAAAGUGGAAUUCCUAGUGUAGCGGUGAAAUGCGUAGAGAUUAGGAAGAACACCAGUGGCGAAGGCGACUUUCUGGACCGUAACUGACGCUGAGGCAUGAAAGCGUGGGGAGCAAACA
rnacentral:rRNA from 1 species